rnacentral:rRNA from 1 species
UACGGAAGGCAGCAGUGGGGAAUAUUGCACAAUGGGCGCAAGCCUGAUGCAGCCAUGCCGCGUGUAUGAAGAAGGCCUUCGGGUUGUAAAGUACUUUCAGUCGUGAGGAAGGUGUUAAGGUUAAUAACCUUAGCAAUUGACGUUAGCGACAGAAGAAGCACCGGCUAACUCCGUGCCAGCAGCCGCGGUAAUACGGAGGGUGCGAGCGUUAAAUCGGAAUUACUGGGCGUAAAGGGCACGCAGGCGGUUAAUUAAGUUGGAUGUGAAAUCCCCGGGCUUAACCUGGGAAUGGCAUUCAAGACUGGUUAGCUAGAGUCUUGUAGAGGGGGUAGAAUUCCAUGUGUAGCGGUGAAAUGCGUAGAGAUGUGGAGGAAUACCGGUGGCGAAGGCGGCCCCUGGACAAAGACUGACGCUCAUGUGCGAAAGCGUGGGGAGCAAACAGGGAUUUAGAUACC